rnacentral:rRNA from 1 species
GGAAACUGAGGAUAAUACCGGAUAGGCAAUUAUUCCUGGAAUGGUUUUUUGUUUAAAUGUUUUUUCGCCUAAGGAUGGGUCUGCGGCCGAUUAGGUAGUUGGUUAGGUAACGGCUUACCAAGCCAUUGAUCGGUACGGGUUGUGAGAGCAAGAGCCCGGAGAUGGAACCUGAGACAAGGUUCCAGGCCCUACGGGGUGCAGCAGGCGCGAAACCUCCGCAAUGUGAGAAAUCGCGACGGGGGGAUCCCAAGUGCCAUUCUUAACGGGAUGGCUUUUCAUUAGUGUAAAGAGCUUUUGGAAUAAGGGCUGGGCAAGACCGGUGCCAGCCGCCGCGGUAACACCGGCAGCUCUAGUGGUAGCAGUUUUUAUUGGGCCUAAAGCGUCCGUAGCCGGUUUAAUAAGUCUCUGGUGAAAUCCUGUAGCUUAACUGUGGGAAUUGCUGGAGAUACUAUUAGACUUGAGACCGGGAGAGGUUAGAGGUACUCCCAGGGUAGAGGUGAAAUUCUGUAAUCCUGGGAGGACCGCCUGUUGCGAAGGCGUCUAACUGGAACGGUUCUGACGGUGAGGGACGAAAGUUAGGGGCGCGAACCGGAUUAGAUACCCGGGUAGUCCUAACCGUAAACGAUGCGGACUUGGUGUUGGGGUGGCUUUGAGCUGCUCCAGUGCCGAAGGGAAGCUGUUAAGUCCGCCGCCUGGGAAGUACGGUCGCAAGACUGAAACUUAA